rnacentral:rRNA from 2 species
AGAGUUUGAUCCUGGCUCAGGACGAACGCUGGCGGCGUGCCUAAUACAUGCAAGUCGAGCGGACCUUUUAGAAGCUUGCUUUGGCGGACGGGUGGGUAACACGUGGGCAACCUGCCUGUAAGACUGGGAUAACUUCGGGAAACCGGAGCUAAUACCGGAUAAUAUAAGGAACCUCCUGGUUCUUUAUUGAAAGAUGGUUUCGGCUAUCACUACAGAUGGGCCCGCGGCGCAUUAGCUAGUUGGUGAGGUAACGGCUCACCAAGGCGACGAUGCGUAGCCGACCUGAGAGGGUGAUCGGCCACACUGGGACUGAGACACGGCCCAGACUCCUACGGGAGGCAGCAGUAGGGAAUCUUCCACAAAGUCUGAUGGAGCAACGCCGCGUGAGCGAUGAAGGCCUUCGGGUCGUAAAGCUCUGUUGUUAGGGAAGAACAAGUGCGAGAGUAACUGCUCGCACCUUGACGGUACCUAACCAGAAAGCCAGCCAGCAGCCGCGGUAAUACGUAAGUGGCAAGCGUUGUCCGGAAUUAUUGGGCGUAAAGCGCGCGCAAGUGGUCCUUUAAGUCUGAUGUGAAAGCCCACGGCUCAACCGUGGAAGGUCAUUGGAAACUGGGGGACUUGAAUGCAGAAGAAGAAAGUGGAAUUCCAAGUGUAACGGUGAAAUGCCUAGAGAUUUGGAAGAACAGUGGCGAAGGCGACUUUCUGGUCUGUAACUGACACUGAGGCGCGAAAGCGGCAAACAGGAUUAGAUACCCUGGUAGUCCACGCCGUAAACGAUGAGUGCUAAGUGUUAGAGGGUUUCCGCCCUUUAGUGCUGCAACGCAUUAAGCACUCCGCGGAGUACGGUCGCAAGACUGAAACUCAAAGGAAUUGACGGGGGCCCGCACAAGCGGUGGAGCAUGUGGUUUAAUUCGAAGCAACGCGAAGAACCUUACCAGGUCUUGACAUCCUCUGACACUCCUAGAGGACGUUCCCCUUCGGGACAGAGUGACAGGUGGUGCAUGGUUGUCGUCAGCUCGUGUCGUGAGAUGUUGGGUUAAGGCAACGAGCGCAACCCUUGAUCUUAGUUGCCAGCAUUGGGCACUCUAANGUGACUGCCGGUGACCGAAGGAAGGUGGGGAAAGUCGUAACAAGGUCGU